GAAAAGUAAAUGCAAAACCUAGAGCAGGUCACACUUUCAUUGAGCUACAGCAGGAGAUGGUAGUUGUGCAAAGAAGAACUUGAACCAGUAGUAUUUUUGGCCUGUUAGCUGCAAAAUUCAUGUAAAUUUCAGUUGAUUGGGAUUCAUUGAGUAGGAUGCAUCUGCAUUUUAAGACAUAAAGUGAGAUUUUGCGUAUGACGGGUAUCUAUCAAUUUAUAAUGAACUUGAUUUAGGCUAAGAAACCUUUUCUAAUGUUGCAGGUAAUGAUAUUCAUGUCUCAGUCACAUUACAGAAGAUAAUUCUAGGCAUGGCUGCAGAAGCACAGCUUGCAGAAGCACUACUCAUAGGGUUGUGGUAGCAAAGCUUAGUAG
rnacentral:lncRNA from 1 species